AUACGGAAGGUCCGGGCGUUAUCCGGAUUUAUUGGGUUUAAAGGGAGCGCAGGCGGAGAUGCAAGCGUGACGUCAAAUUUCGGGGCUCAACCCCGUCUCGCGUCGCGAACUGCGUCCCUUGGUUGCGGGACGGGGAGGCGGAACUCGGGGUGUAGCGGUGAAAUGCAUAGAUAUCACGAAGAACUCCGAUCGCGAAGGCAGCCUUCCGGCCCGUCAACGACGCUCAUGCUCGAAGGUGCGGGUAUCAAACAGGAUUAGAUACCCUGGUAGUCCGCACAGUAAACGAUGGACACCCGCGGUUUGGCCUAUAUGGCUGAGCCGCCAAGCGAAAGCGUUAAGUGUCCCACCUGGGGAGUACGCCGGCAACGGUGAAACUUAAAGGAAUUGACGGGG
rnacentral:rRNA from 1 species